CAAACAUUAAGCACAUGGUACAUCACUACAGCCUCAUUAGUCCAGUACGGACACUUCGUGCAAGGGAUCUACACGUCGAUUCUACGCCGAGAUCUCAUAUACAAUUCAGAUAUGGGUGAACCAGUGAAUUGAAGAGUUCGCCAAAACACGAGAAUGGCUCGCCUUACUGCACUAGUCCUCUGCCUUUUCGCAUCCCACUCCUGCUACGGAUUCAACGGAGACAACUUCGAGCUCGAAUGCCCCGAUGAGUGCGACUGCCACUACUUCCGUAUCAACUGGGUGACCGAUUGCUCAGAGAGCAACCUCACCGUAGUACCCUAUGAUGAGCUCAGUCUCAGCGUGUACAUUCUGGAUUUGAAUGGCAACAACAUAACCAGCCUCCAGCCUUUCCCGAGUGAUAUAAAGAUGAGGAGGUUGCAAAUAGCGAACAACAGACUGACGAGGGUGGAGAGAGACGCAUUCCGUGGACUGGAGUACUUGAUUGAUGUAGAUCUGUCCGGCAAUAAUAUAAGCUAUGUCGAUCCGGAGGCCUUCUUGGACUCACGUGGGCUACUAAAUGUAGAACUUCAAGACAAUCCGCUCGAUGUUGUCGAAGGACCGUUCCUCGUGUCCGGCACCCUACAAUUCCUGGAUAUCAGCAACUGCAACAUAUCCACCAUCAACCAACAGUUCUUCGAGAACGUCACAUCAUUGACAACUCUAGACCUGUCAAACAAUCCGCUCAGAGCCCUGGAAAGCGGAGUCUUUGACACUUUGACCAGUCUCGAAACUUUGAAACUUAACGACUGCAAGCUGUCUACACUCGCAGAAAAUCUCUUUUCGGCUCUAGUGAAUCUGAAAAACUUGGAACUCGCCGGAAACUAUUUGAUGAAUACAAACUGGCCCGAAGUAUUAGGCACGCUAACUAGGCUCGAAUAUCUCAAUUUGAGAAAAUCUGGCCUAGUAUCACUUUCUGAGGACACAUUUUCGAAUUGCACAAAUCUUGUUUCGCUCAUUUUAGCCGAAAACGAAUUACGUGACAUGGACGUCGCAGCAACGUUAGGCAACAGCGUUAAUCAUUUGGAAUUACUAGAUUUAUCAAACUGUAAAAUCCAAGGUCCAAUCGCUGGUGAUGCAUUUGCGAAUUCUUCGAGAUUAAAGAGUCUAUACUUGUCAGGGAACCCCUUGUUUGCGCCGGAUUUAGAAGAAGCUUUAGCGCCACUUCCGAAACUAGAAAGGCUGUUCUUGAGUAACUGCGGUCUGCGUAAUUUACCGGAUAGUUUUAAUGUUUUCGAAAACCUUCUCGAAUUAGAUAUUUCUCACAAUCCGUUAGUGAACGUGUUUACAAAAUUGCUUGCUCCUCUCGAAAAAAUAGAAUAUCUCAACAUGGGCUACAGUAAUCUAUCUUACGUAGGACCAGAAACAUUUGCACAUAUGACAUCACUUAAGAGAUUAGUGCUCUCAGGUAACGAUCUUCUAUCCUUGGAAGCUGGUCUCUUUGGAAACCUUACACAACUGACAACUUUGGAAUUAGAAUUCUGUGGUCUAAAGCGACCACUGAAUGCGAAUGCCUUUUUCAAAAAUCUAACAUACACUGACUUAAGAGAAAUUAGACUCGGUGGGAACCCACUCGUGAUUCCUACCGCUGGUCCUUUAUUCCCAAAACAGUUAUCUCAAAUGACUGUGCUGGAUUUAAGCAAUUGCAAUAUUACAUCACUUAAUCCGGACGCAUUUAAGAACACCGAAAAUUUGACCGAAUUGAAUUUGGCUGGCAAUCAACUGAAAUCCGGAGAUGGAAGUUUAGCGUUCUUGGAAAUACUACAACAACUGGAAAAGAUAAAUUUGAGCAACAACAAUUUGACGACAAUAGAUCCGGAGUUCUUUGUCAAUAAUCCGAAGUUGCAUUCGAUUAACUUAAUCGGCAAUCCAUUCGUAUGCGACUGCAAGAUCGCUGAAAUGUGGGACUGGGCGAACAUGAUCAAAGGCGAUUUGGACGUUCUCACCGGAGCCAAGAGUGCUAAGAAAGAUAUCGUAGUGAAAGGAAAUAAGAAGAAAAAGAACCUCUACUGCCGUUACAAUGAAGCUCAACUUCGAAACAUGACUCUGAUAUCCACCAAAACUGUUCCGGGUCGAAGGCCUUUUGUGAAGCCUAGAGAGUUGACAUACGCAAAUAGGACCUGGGCCAAAUAUGUGAGGGAGUCAGGGUGUGAGCCGGUGGUUAAAAUAUUAAGGCCAGUAGCUCUAAUCGCGGAUUUAUUUCACAAAUCGAAUUCCGAUUUUGGGCCCUCAGCGGCAUUCUUGAUGGCUAUCAUAGCCUUAGCUUUCGGUAUAACUACAGUUAUAAUGACAUUCAGGUUGCUCCAAAAGAAACAAUUCAUUUCGGAAAUCAAUACAGAAAGUCACAGGAAGCAGAGGUAAUAAUAAAAGACAAAGUAACUAAGUUGUAAAUUGUAAUACUUGCUAUGAAAACGAUCAAGCGGGAAAAACUUCGAUUGUUUGUUUAAAAGUGUCGGUUUUAAUAUUAAAGUUAAAUAAUUUAUUAUUAUACAAAUAUUUUAGUUACUAUUUUUUGUAAAUUCGAUAAAUGUUAUACUAAGUAGAUCUACAAAGAUUUAGAAAGUAUUCAAUAAACACUGGCGUGAUUUUUUAAUUAUGCCUUAGAUGUGCCUAUGUGAAUAUUGUGGGUAGGUAUUAUUUUUACGCAUUUUCUUUUUUUUUCUUUUUAAUUUAAGUUUUUCUAAAGUUUUGUACACAGAAUCUAAAUGUCUCAGCAAUGCUGCUGAUCUAUUUGAUGUACCUAAAGUAAACAUAAUAUACCUAGUUAAUAUUAAGUUUAAACGUAUUAUUACUGUUGUAAACAUGUCGUGUCAGGUAUAUCUGCAAAAUAUGUCUCUCUAGAAAUUUAGCCCUGUUAAGCUAAAAUAGUGUGUUAAAUGUAGAUAUCUAUGUAUUUUACUAGUCAAGUUAAUAAACAAAAAAAUCAUUAAGUAUCUAAUUAAUUUAUUUUUUAAUAUUUUUGUGAUACACUUCGUGCUAUCCUAAUUUUACCUUACAGUAUUUAAUGAAAUAAUAAAUUUCGUAUUAAAAUUA